GAGAGCAUCAGUAGGAGGAGGUGAAGAAUGACCAUUAUGUACAGCCAGAGUGGAUUGGCUCUAUAGUUUGUAAGAAAUAAAUGGAUGCCUCAGCUGUUGAUCCCAACUACUAGCUAGCCAGUGCUCACAUGAACAGUGCACAAGAAAACUAAAAAGCAUAAGUAGGACCUCAUUGGAAGUCCUGGCACAGAGAACAAAGGCUGCAGGUGAAAGGAACAUAUCUGGAGUAAUAAGACACAGUCAGCUUACCCCUU